GGGUUGUGAGGUUAAGCGACUAAGCGUACACGGUGGAUGCCCUGGCAGUCAGAGGCGAUGAAGGACGUGCUAAUCUGCGAAAAGCGUCGGUAAGGUGAUAUGAACCGUUACAGCCGGCGAUGUCCGAAUGGGGAAACCCAGUGCAAUUCGUUGCACUAUCGUUAACUGAAUACAUAGGUUAACGAGGCGAACCGGGGGAACUGAAACAUCUAAGUACCCCGAGGAAAAGAAAUCAACCGAGAUUCCCCCAGUAGCGGCGAGCGAACGGGGAGCAGCCCAGAGUCUGAAUCAGCUUGUGUGUUAGUGGAACGGUCUGGAAAGUCCGACGGUACAGGGUGAUAGUCCCGUACACCAAAAUGCACAGGCUGUGAACUCGAAGAGUAGGGCGGGACACGUGGUAUCCUGUCUGAAUAUGGGGGGACCAUCCUCCAAGGCUAAAUACUCCUGACUGACCGAUAGUGAACCAGUACCGUGAGGGAAAGGCGAAAAGAACCCCGGCGAGGGGAGUGAAAAAGAACCUGAAACCGUGUACGUACAAGCAGUGGGAGCACCUUCGGGUGUGACUGCGUACCUUUUGUAUAAUGGGUCAGCGACUUAUAUUCUGUAGCAAGGUUAACCGUAUAGGGGAGCCGCAGGGAAACCGAGUCUUAACUGGGCGUUAAGUUGCAGGGUAUAGACCCGAAACCCGGUGAUCUAGCCAUGGGCAGGUUGAAGGUUGGGUAACACUAACUGGAGGACCGAACCGACUAAUGUUGAAAAAUUAGCGGAUGACUUGUGGCUGGGGGUGAAAGGCCAAUCAAACCGGGAGAUAGCUGGUUCUCCCCGAAAGCUAUUUAGGUAGCGCCUCGUGAAUUCAUCUUCGGGGGUAGAGCACUGUUUCGGCUAGGGGGUCAUCCCGACUUACCAACCCGAUGCAAACUACGAAUACCGAAGAAUGUUAUCACGGGAGACACACGGCGGGUGCUAACGUCCGUCGUGAAGAGGGAAACAACCCAGACCGCCAGCUAAGGUCCCAAAGUCAUGGUUAAGUGGGAAACGAUGUGGGAAGGCACAGACAGCCAGGAUGUUGGCUUAGAAGCAGCCAUCAUUUAAAGAAAGCGUAAUAGCUCACUGGUCGAGUCGGCCUGCGCGGAAGAUGUAACGGGGCUAAACCAUGCACCGAAGCUGCGGCAGCGACACUAUGUGUUGUUGGGUAGGGGAGCGUUCUGUAAGCCUGCGAAGGUGACCUGUGAGGGUUGCUGGAGGUAUCAGAAGUGCGAAUGCUGACAUAAGUAACGAUAAAGCGGGUGAAAAGCCCGCUCGCCGGAAGACCAAGGGUUCCUGUCCAACGUUAAUCGGGGCAGGGUGAGUCGACCCCUAAGGCGAGGCCGAAAGGCGUAGUCGAUGGGAAACAGGUUAAUAUUCCUGUACUUGGUGUUACUGCGAAGGGGGGACGGAGAAGGCUAUGUUAGCCGGGCGACGGUUGUCCCGGUUUAAGCAUGUAGGCUGGUUGUCCAGGCAAAUCCGGAUAAUCAAGGCUGAGGUGUGAUGACGAGGCACUACGGUGCUGAAGUAACAAAUGCCCUGCUUCCAGGAAAAGCCUCUAAGCAUCAGGUAACAUCAAAUCGUACCCCAAACCGACACAGGUGGUCAGGUAGAGAAUACCAAGGCGCUUGAGAGAACUCGGGUGAAGGAACUAGGCAAAAUGGUGCCGUAACUUCGGGAGAAGGCACGCUGGUGUGUAGGUGAAGUCCCUGCGGAUGGAGCUGAGACCAGUCGAAGAUACCAGCUGGCUGCAACUGUUUAUUAAAAACACAGCACUGUGCAAACACGAAAGUGGACGUAUACGGUGUGACGCCUGCCCGGUGCCGGAAGGUUAAUUGAUGGGGUUAUCCGUAAGGAGAAGCUCUUGAUCGAAGCCCCGGUAAACGGCGGCCGUAACUAUAACGGUCCUAAGGUAGCGAAAUUCCUUGUCGGGUAAGUUCCGACCUGCACGAAUGGCGUAAUGAUGGCCAGGCUGUCUCCACCCGAGACUCAGUGAAAUUGAACUCGCUGUGAAGAUGCAGUGUACCCGCGGCAAGACGGAAAGACCCCGUGAACCUUUACUAUAGCUUGACACUGAACAUUGAGCCUUGAUGUGUAGGAUAGGUGGGAGGCUUUGAAGCGUGGACGCCAGUCUGCGUGGAGCCAACCUUGAAAUACCACCCUUUAAUGUUUGAUGUUCUAACGUUGGCCCCUUACCGGGGUUGCGGACAGUGUCUGGUGGGUAGUUUGACUGGGGCGGUCUCCUCCCAAAGCGUAACGGAGGAGCACGAAGGUUAGCUAAUCCUGGUCGGACAUCAGGAGGUUAGUGCAAUGGCAUAAGCUAGCUUGACUGCGAGCGUGACGGCGCGAGCAGGUGCGAAAGCAGGUCAUAGUGAUCCGGUGGUUCUGAAUGGAAGGGCCAUCGCUCAACGGAUAAAAGGUACUCCGGGGAUAACAGGCUGAUACCGCCCAAGAGUUCAUAUCGACGGCGGUGUUUGGCACCUCGAUGUCGGCUCAUCACAUCCUGGGGCUGAAGUAGGUCCCAAGGGUAUGGCUGUUCGCCAUUUAAAGUGGUACGCGAGCUGGGUUUAGAACGUCGUGAGACAGUUCGGUCCCUAUCUGCCGUGGGCGCUGGAGAAUUGAGGGGGGCUGCUCCUAGUACGAGAGGACCGGAGUGGACGCAUCACUGGUGUUCGGGUUGUCAUGCCAAUGGCACUGCCCGGUAGCUAAAUGCGGAAGAGAUAAGUGCUGAAAGCAUCUAAGCACGAAACUUGCCCCGAGAUGAGUUCUCCCUGAGACUUUAAGUCUCCUGAAGGAACGUU
rnacentral:rRNA from 1 species